GAACGUUGGCGGUGUGCCAAAUAGAUGCAAGUCGAAGGGAGUUAAUAACAAUAUUGAGUUAGUGGCGAAGGGGUGAGUAACGCGUUGGAGAUCUGCCUCGAAGUGUGGAACAACGUUCCGAAAGGAACGCUAAUACCGCAUGUGCUCUCGAUUUUUAGAAAGUCGAAAGUAAAGGAUUUAUUCGCUUCGAGAGGAGCCAGCGUCCCAUCAGCUGGUUGGUAGGGUAAAGGCCUACCAAGGCUAUGACGGGUAGGGGGCCUGAGAGGGUGGCCCCCCUCAAUGGAACUGAAACACGGUCCAUACACCUACGGGUGGCAGCAGUUGGGAAUAUUAGAAAUGGACGAAAGUCUGAUCUAGCAACACCGCGUGUGCGAAGAAGGCCUUCGGGUCGUAAAGCACUUUUUGGAAGGAAUAGGAAGGAAUCUACUUCCAGAAAAAGUCUCGGCUAACUUCGUGCCAGCAGCCGCGGUAACACGAAGGAGGCGAACGU
rnacentral:rRNA from 1 species